CGGACGGGUGAGUAACGCGUGGGGAACCUGCCCUGUACAGGGGGAUAACACUUAGAAAUAGGUGCUAAUACCGCAUAAGCGCACAGUAUCGCAUGAUACAGUGUGAAAAACUCCGGUGGUACAGGAUGGACCCGCGUCUGAUUAGCUGGUUGGCGGGGUAACGGCCCACCAAGGCGACGAUCAGUAGCCGGCCUGAGAGGGUGAACGGCCACAUUGGGACUGAGACACGGCCCAGACUCCUACGGAAGGCAGCAG
rnacentral:rRNA from 1 species